GUGCUCACUUCAGCAGAACAUAUACUAAAAAUCUGAAUGAUACAGAGGAGUUUAGCGUGGCCCCUGUGAUAGGAAGACAGGCUAAUUCGUUAAGCAUUCCAUAUAUAA